AGAGUUUGAUCCUGGCUCAGAAUCAACGCUGGCGGCGUGCCUAACACAUGCAAGUCGAACGCGAAAGCCCCGCAAGGGGUAAGUAGAGUGGCAAACGGGUGAGUAACACGUGGGUGACCUGCCUUCGAGUGGGGGAUAACGUCCCGAAAGGGACGCUAAUACCGCAUGACAUCCUGCUUUUGGAAAAGCGGAGAUCAAAGCUGGGGAUCGCAAGACCUGGCGCUUGAAGAGGGGCCCGCGCCUGAUUAGCUAGUUGGUAGGGUAACGGCCUACCAAGGCAACGAUCAGUAUCCGGCCUGAGAGGGCGGACGGACACACUGGGACUGAGACACGGCCCAGACUCCUACGGGAGGCAGCAGUGGGGAAUUGUUCGCAAUGGGCGCAAGCCUGACGACGCAACGCCGCGUGGAGGACGAAGAUCUUCGGGUCGUAAACUCCUGUCGAGUGGGAAGAAUGCUUCGGGGGUGAAUAACCUCCGGAAUUGACGGUACCACUAAAGGAAGCCCCGGCUAACUCCGUGCCAGCCGCCGCGGUAAUAC
rnacentral:rRNA from 1 species